rnacentral:rRNA from 1 species
UACGGGGGGUGCGAGCGUUGUCCGGAAUCACUGGGCGUAAAGGGCGCGUAGGUGGUUUGAUAAGGGUGUGGUGAAAGUCCGGGGCUCAACCCCGGAUCUGCCGUGCCGACUGUCAAACUCGAGGACUGUAGAGGCAGACGGAAUUCCGGGUGUGGCGGUGGAAUGCGUAGAGAUCCGGAGGAAGACCGGUGGCGAAGGUGGUCUGCUGGGCAGUUUCUGACACUGAGGCGCGACAGCGUGGGGAGCAAACAGG